rnacentral:tRNA from 1 species
GCGCCUGUGGCCUAAUCGAUAAGGCGUCUGACUUCUAAUCAGACGAUUGUGGGUUCGAGUCCCACCAGGCGUGUCA